GCUUGACUGUAUCUUGGAAUUGGGUUCGGGCUUUUCUUGCGCAGACUAGGUGGGAGGCUAUGAAGAUUUUCUUCUGGGAAAGUUGGAGCCAACAGUGAGAGACCACUCUGGAAAGGCUAGAAUCCUAAUGGUGAUCCUUGAAUCAGGACACUUGACAGUUUCAGGUGGGCAGUUUUUCUGGGGCGGAAGCCUCAUAAAAGGUAACUGAGGCGCGCAAAGGUCCCCUCAGUCUGGACGGAAAUCAGACAUUGAGUAGUAAAGGCAAAAGGGGGCUUGACUGCAAGACCCACAAGUCGAGCAGGGGCGAAAGCUGGCCUUAGUGAUCCGACGGUGCCGUGUGGAAGGGCCGUCGCUCAACGAAUAAAAGUUA
rnacentral:rRNA from 1 species